rnacentral:rRNA from 1 species
GAUGAACGCUGGCGGCGUGCCUAAUACAUGCAAGUCGAGCGAACGGACGAGAAGCUUGCUUUUCUGAUGUUAGCGGCGGACGGGUGAGUAACACGUGGAUAACCUACCUAUAAGACUGGGAUAACUUCGGGAAACCGGAGAUAAUACCGGAUAAUAUUUUGAACCGCAUGGUUCAAAAGUGAAAGACGGUCUUGCUGUCACUUAUAGAUGGAUCCGCGCUGCAUUAGCUAGUUGGUAAGGUAACGGCUUACCAAGGCAACGAUGCAUAGCUGACCUGAGAGGAUGAUCAGCCACACUGGAACUGAGACACGGUCCAGACUCCUACGGGAGGCAGCAGUGGGGAAUCUUGCGCAAUGGGCGAAAGCCUGACGGAGCAACGCCGCGUGAGUGAUGAAGGUCUUCGGAUCGUAAAACUCUUUUAUUAGGGAAGAACAGAUGUGUAAGUAUCUGUGCACGUCUUGACGGUACCUAAUCAGAAAGCCACGGCUAACUACGUG